CACGACCCACUCUCGCUCACCUCACGCUGUACCUUCCCUUUCUCUGUCGUUGCUGCCACCGCAGCACAUUUCCGGCGAAGCAGCCACGGUGUAACCACACCGCAACAACCCCUCCGCCACCCAGCCACCUUUUUUCUCUCGCAGCACCAUUUUCUCUCUCCGUCUCCGCGACCCACCUGCACGAACCUCCAUCGGAAACGGCCCACCUUCGUCACUCCGACGAAAUCCGGCGAACCACCCUGACACCUUCAAACUCGCCGCUGCAUUCUCAAUUUCCGGCGAAGCCCUGCUGUCGCACGUCCUCUGCCGCAAGAUUAAGGAAAAAGGGAUAUUACAAGCCUCCCCCGACUAUCAAAGUUACUAAGCAGGAUUUGAGGUAAUGACGGGGAUGACGGAAUGGCGUAGCAGUGAGGAAUAAUUACUACUUAAAUUAUGCAGACUCUUAUUAAUAUGUAUUCUAAGCUUGAGAACAUUAGUUUAUGAACCUUA